rnacentral:rRNA from 1 species
AGUGAACGUUGGCAGCGUGGAUUAGGCAUGCAAGUCGAGCGAGAACCGUAGCAAUACGGGGACAGCGGCGAAAGGGACAGUAAUGUGUAGGUACCUACCCCGGGGUCUGGGAUAGCUGCGGGAAACUGCAGGUAAUACCGGAUAAUGUCUUCGGACCAAAGGUGUGAUUCCACCUUGGGAGGGGCCUGCAUCCUAUUAGCUUGUUGGCGGGGUAACGGCCCACCAAGGCAACGAUGGGUAGCGGGUGUGGGAGCACGACCCGCGUCAUUGGGACUGAGAUACUGCCCAGACACCUACGGGUGGCUGCAGUCGAGGAUCUUCGGCAAUGGGCGAAAGCCUGACCGAGCGACGCCGCGUGCGGGAUGAAGGCCUUCGGGUUGUAAACCGCUGUCGUAGAGGAGGAAAUGCAGGGGGGUUCUCCCUUCUGUUUGACCUAUUCUAGGAGGAGGGACGGGCUAAGUUCGUGCCAGCCGCCGCCGUAA